rnacentral:rRNA from 1 species
ACCAGCCAUGCCGCGUGCAGGAUGACGGUCCUAUGGAUUGWAARCUGCUUUUGUACAGGAGGAAAUGUUACUACGUGUAGUARUUUGACGGGACUGUAMGAAUAARGACCGGCUNAASUCCGCUGCCAGCAGCCGCGGUAAU